rnacentral:rRNA from 1 species
GAGUUUGAUCCUGGCUCAGAACGAACGCUGGCGGCGUGCUUAACACAUGCAAGUCAGGGAGAAAGUCUCUUCGGGGAUGAUUAAACCGGCGCACGGGUGAGUAACACGUGAGUGACCUGCCUUUUAGACUGGAACAACUUACCGAAAGGUGAGCUAAUGCCGGAUGAGUUAUAUAAGUGCAUGUUUAUAUAGGAAAAGUUGGGGAGACCUGACGCUGAAAGAUGGACUCGCGUCCCAUUAGCUAGUUGGUAGGGUAAUGGCCUACCAAGGCGACGAUGGGUAGCCGGCCUGAGAGGGUGGCCGGCCACACUGGGACUGAGACACGGCCCAGACUCCUACGGGAGGCAGCAGUGGGGAAUUUUGCGCAAUGCUCGUAAGAGUGACGCAGCGACGCCGCGUGAAUGACGAAGGCCUUCGGGUCGUAAAGUUCUUUCGACAGGGAAGAAAAUGCCUAUAAGUAACUGUGUAUGUAUUGACGGUACCUGUAUAAGCAGCCCCGGCUAACUCCGUGCCAGCAGCCGCGGUAAUAUGGAGGGGGCGAG